rnacentral:rRNA from 1 species
ACGAACGCUGGCGGCGUGCUUAACCCAUGCAAGUCGAACGGAAAGGCCCUGCUUUUGUGGGGUGCUCGAGUGGCGAACGGGUGAGUAACACGUGAGUAACCUGCCCUUGACUUUGGGAUAACUUCAGGAAACUGGGGCUAAUACCGGAUAGGAGCUCCUGCUGCAUGGUGGGGGUUGGAAAGUUUCGGCGGUUGGGGAUGGACUCGCGGCUUAUCAGCUUGUUGGUGGGGUAGUGGCUUACCAAGGCUUUGACGGGUAGCCGGCCUGAGAGGGUGACCGGCCACAUUGGGACUGAGAUACGGCCCAGACUCCUACGGGAGGCAGCAGUGGGGAAUAUUGCACAAUGGGCGGAGGCCUGAUGCAGCAACGCCGCGUGCGGGAUGACGGCCUUCGGGUUGUAAACCGCUUUCGCCUGUGACGAAGCGUGAGUGACGGUAAUGGGUAAAGAAGCACCGGCUAACUACGUG